rnacentral:misc_RNA from 1 species
AUAAAAGCAUCAGAGAGUUACAGGUAAUCAUUAGACAUUGUAGUUACUUCUGAUUCAUGCAUUGGUUUUCUAUUGGUUUGUUGAAACAUGCCAAGAAAUUGAGGCAGAAAAUGAUGGGCUACAAGGUGCAUCUUAUUGCAUGCAUUAGCAAUGGUUUCUCAUGGAUGGAUGAUAAAAUAGGAGAUCUUAUUCAAUGAUACUAAUGCUUGAAUAAUAUAAUGUUAUAUUUUAACUGAUAUAACGUGACAUGAUUAAUAUAGGCUACAUGAUCUGUGGAUAUAUAAAUAGGAGUUCAGUUGUCACCUUUAGUUUGAUAAUUAUAUCCUAAAUCAUAGUGAAUUAUUGGACUGCU